rnacentral:rRNA from 1 species
GUGGGGAAUUUUGGACAAUGGGCGAAAGCCUGAUCCAGCCAUGCCGCGUGUGUGAAGAAGGUCUUCGGAUUGUAAAGCACUUUAAGUUGGGAGGAAGGGCAGUAAGUUAAUACCUUGCUGUUUUGACGUUACCGACAGAAUAAGCACCGGCUAACUUCGUGCCAGCAGCCGCGGUAAUACGAAGGGUGCAAGCGUUAAUCGGAAUUACUGGGCGUAAAGCGCGCGUAGGUGGUUCAGCAAGUUGAAGGUGAAAUCCCCGGGCUCAACCUGGGAACUGCCUCCAAAACUACUGAGCUAGAGUACGGUAGAGGGUAGUGGAAUUUCCUGUGUAGCGGUGAAAUGCGUAGAUAUAGGAAGGAACACCAGUGGCGAAGGCGACUACCUGGACUGAUACUGACACUGAGGUGCGAAAGCGUGGGGAGCAAACAGGAUUAGAAACCCUGGUAGUCC